UACGGAGGGUGCGAGCGUUGUCCGGAAUCACUGGGCGUAAAGGGCGCGUAGGCGGCUUCUUAAGCGGGCGGUGAAAGCCCGGGGCUCAACCCCGGGUCGGCCGUGCGAACUGGGAAGCUCGAACCCACUAGAGGCAGGCGGAAUUCCGGGUGUAGCGGUGGAAUGCGUAGAGAUCCGGAAGAACACCGGAGGCGAAGGCAGCUUACUAGGCUGUAACUGACGCUGAGGCACGAAAGUGUGGGGAUCAAACAGG
rnacentral:rRNA from 1 species